rnacentral:rRNA from 1 species
CUGAGAGGAUGACCAGCCACGACUGGAACUGAGACACGGUCCAGACUCCUACGGGAGGCAGCAGUGGGGAAUCUUGCGCAAUGGGCGAAAGCCUGACGCAGCGACGCCGCGUGGGUGACGAAGGCCUUCGGGUUGUAAAGCCCUGUGGGGGGGAGACGAACCGGGUCGUGGCUAAUAAUCCCACGGUCCUUGACGGUAUCCCUUUAGCAAGCAUCGGCUAAACUCUGUGCCAGCAGCCGCGGUAAGACAGAGGAUGCAAACGUUGCUCGGAAUUACUGGGCGUAAAGCGCGCGCAGGUGGUCCGGUAAGUCGGGUGUGAAAAUCCCCGGGGGCUCAACCUCGGGAAGUGCACUCGAUACUGCUAGACUUGAGUACUGGAGAGGAGAGCGGAAUUCCCGGUGUAGAGGUGAAAUUCGUAGAUAUCGGG